UACGCGGUUGCGUAGCAACGGGAGAUCUCCGACCCGGAAGUGCUGCCACUCUGAGCUGUCCCACCUGCGACUGAUUCCUCGCCAGCUGCUGCCAAUCAUCCACCAUCGUUGGCAGAGCUAUUUAAUGGUGUGGCUGAGUGACAGACAGCCCUGGAGUAUUCCACCAAGCCUGGUAGUGACUCAAGCUCAGAGAAUGUAAGAUAGCGAAGGAAGUCUAAUCGCGUCUGUUUGCCUUUUUUGCACUAAACGAACGAGACGGAGAGACGGGAGGAGAGAUGUCACUAUUCACAAGAGUUGUGUGGACAUACGAGGGGAGCACUGAAGGGACUUUGCACUGUGGAUAACUGUGGAGUGGCUUCACUCUAAAUAAAGACACUGUUCAACUUUAACGAGAGGUCCGCGUCUGGGUUCACUAACUCACCACCCUUAACAGGAGGACUUGUAAGAAUGAAUGAUGCUGCGAAGCAUGAAAAUGCCAUUGGGUCUGCAGUGGUGGUUUACAGUCACGUCACAUGACAGCGUAACACCUAAACACAAGAGGGGGGAGGAGGAGCAAAGUCUGCCUGCUUUUCGCUGACACGGAAGCAGCGAAUCCGGCGACCUGGCUGUUUCGUCUUUGCCGAAUGCACAGCAUUGCAAACAAGAGCAGUGAAGAGCCUGAGGCCGGUGACACUCCAGUUCUACUCUAAGUACAUCCUUACAGUGGCUCACAGGACAAGGCGACAUUCCUGUCCUGCCAGAAGAGAAGAGAAACUUCAGAGUCUUCAUGAAGUUCAACCACACCUGUCAUAUUCCAUAUGACAGAGGUCUCAAACUCCAUUCCUCGAAGGUCGGUGUCAUGCAACUUUUCCAUGCCCUCGAGGACUGGAGUUUGAGACCCCUGCCGUAUGGUGUUCAUGCAGUUUUCUACCCCACAGUUACAGCAUGUCUGACUGCCUGUUCA